GUGAAAAGUUGGAGUUCAUCUAUACAUCUAGAUCUACAUACAUGUAAAAAAUUGGUACAUAAACCAAUUUUUCAUUGAUAGUAUAUAAAAAAUGUAAUGCUACAACAGAUUCAAGAAGUAGAGGCGUACAUUAAGUAGCUACUAAGGUUGGAGGUUUUGCAGGGUUUGAGCAUGGUACAAGGAGGCGCUUGGAGCUUUUAGAGGACUCUGUUUAGCCAAUACCGGAAUACUUGUUUAUGUCUUUUUAAAAUUUCAUUUGAAUUUUGGAUCCUUUAAUUAUUGCUUGUGGAACUAUGAUUCUGACCGAAGAAUUUUCUUGUUUCGUUUUUUAUCUUUUAUCUCUGGUUUAUGGUAAGUUGUUUCCGGAUCAGUUGUAUUAUUUUCUAGUAAAGUACUGUUUUGGAUGUA